UCUCCGUUGGUGAACCAGCGGAGGGAUCAUUAAAGAGAGCCUAAAAAACUCCCGCAAAACCCCAUGUGAACAUACCAUACGUUGCCUCGGCAGGCCCCAGACGCGCCUAGCGCGCGCACCCCCAGGGGGGGCGCGGCUGGGACCUGCCGGCGGCCCAAGCAAACCCUGUCGUCACUGAAUUCUGAGCUCGCAUGUAGGAAAUUAAGUUAAAACUUUCAACAACGGAUCUCUUGGUUCUGGCAUCGAUGAAGAACGCAGC
rnacentral:misc_RNA from 1 species